rnacentral:rRNA from 1 species
GAUGAACGCUGGCGGCGUGCCUAACACAUGCAAGUCGAGCGAUUUACUUCGGUAAAGAGCGGCGGACGGGUGAGUAACGCGUGGGUAACCUGCCCUGUACACACGGAUAACAUACCGAAAGGUAUGCUAAUACGAGAUAAUAUGCUUUUAUCGCAUGGUAGAAGUAUCAAAGCUUUUGCGGUACAGGAUGGACCCGCGUCUGAUUAGCUAGUUGGUGAGGUAACGGCUCACCAAGGCGACGAUCAGUAGCCGACCUGAGAGGGGGAUCGGCCACAUUGGAACUGAGACACGGUCCAAACUCCUACGGGAGGCAGCAGUGGGGAAUAUUGCACAAUGGGCGAAAGCCUGAUGCAGCAACGCCGCGUGAGCGAUGAAGGCCUUCGGGUCGUAAAGCUCUGUCCUCAAGGAAGAUAAUGACGGUACUUGAGGAGGAAGCCCCGGCUAACUACGUG